CCUACGAGGGGCAGCAGUGAGGAAUAUUGGUCAAUGGACGCAAGUCUGAACCAGCCAUGCAGCGUGCAGGAAGACGGCUCGAUGAGUUGUAAACUGCUUUUGUACGAGGGUAAACGCAGAUACGCGUAUAUGUCUGAAAGUAUCGUACGAAUAAGGAUCGGCGAACUCCGUGCCAGCAGCCGCGGUAAUACGGAGGAUUCAAGCGUUAUCCGGAUUUAUUGGGGUUAACGGGUGCGUAGGCGGUCGGAGAAGUUCGAGGGGAAAUCCCGAGGCUCAACUUCGGAAUUGCCUCUGAGACUGUUCGGCUAGUGCUUAGUUGCGGUAUGCGUAAUGUAUGUUGUCGCGGU
rnacentral:rRNA from 1 species